rnacentral:rRNA from 1 species
AUUGAACGCUGGCGGCAGGCUUAACACAUGCAAGUCGAGCGGAGAUGAGGUGCUUGCACCUUAUCUUAGCGGCGGACGGGUGAGUAAUGCUUAGGAAUCUGCCUAUUAGUGGGGGACAACAUUCCGAAAGGAACGCUAAUACCGCAUACGCCCUACGGGGGAACGCAGGGGAUCUUCGGACGUUGCGCUAAUAGAUGAGCCUAAGUCGGAUUAGCUAGUUGGUGGGGUAAAGGCCUACCAAGGCGACGAUCUGUAGCGGGUCUGAGAGGAUGAUCCGCCACACUGGGACUGAGACACGGCCCAGACUCCUACGGGAGGCAGCAGUGGGGAAUAUUGGACAAUGGGCGGAAGCCUGAUCCAGCCAUGCCGCGUGUGUGAAGUAGGCCUUUUGGUUGUAAAGCACUUUAAGCGAGGAGGAGGCUACCUGGAUUAAUACUCUAGGAUAGUGGACGUUACUCGCAGAAUAAGCACCGGCUAACUCUGUGCCAGCAGCCGCGGUAAUAC